rnacentral:rRNA from 1 species
AUUGAACGCUGGCGGCAUGCCUUACACAUGCAAGUCGAACGGCAGCACGGGUGCUUGCACCUGGUGGCGAGUGGCGAACGGGUGAGUAAUACAUCGGAACAUGUCCUGUAGUGGGGGAUAGCCCGGCGAAAGCCGGAUUAAUACCGCAUACGAUCUACGGAUGAAAGCGGGGGACCUUCGGGCCUCGCGCUAUAGGGUUGGCCGAUGGCUGAUUAGCUAGUUGGUGGGGUAAAGGCCUACCAAGGCGACGAUCAGUAGCUGGUCUGAGAGGACGACCAGCCCAAAUGGGAAUGAGAAAAGGCCCAGAAUCCUAAGGGAGGCAGGAGUGGGGAAAUUUGGAAAAAGGGCGAAAGCCUGAACCAGGAAUGCCGCGGGUGUGAAGAAGGGCUUCGGGUUGGAAAGCAAUUUUGUCCGGAAAGAAAACCCUGGGCCUAAAAAGGGCGGGGGAUGACGGUACCGGAAGAAUAAGCACCGGCUAACUACGUG